AUAUCAUUACCACAUUAUGCUUUAAUUGGUAGAACAGCCGACCAGUCGACCAGACACUUAGCAUACUAGGCUUUUAUUAUAUAGGAUGUAUUUUUGGAAUAGGGAGAUGGAAUAGGAGCUUGCUCUGUCCACUCUGCCCAUCAACCUGGUAUUGCAGUACCUCCAGGAAUGGUACACAAAAA